UACGUAGGGUGCAAGCGUUGUCCGGAAUUAUUGGGCGUAAAGAGCUCGUAGGCGGUCUGUCGCGUCGGCUGUGAAAACCUGGGGCUUAACUCCGGGCCUGCAGCCGAUACGGGCAGACUAGAGUUCGGCAGGGGAGACUGGAAUUCCUGGUGUAGCGGUGAAAUGCGCAGAUAUCAGGAGGAACACCAGUGGCGAAGGCGCCGCUCUGGGCCGUGACUGACGCUGAGGAGCGAAAGCGUGGGUAGCAAACAGG
rnacentral:rRNA from 1 species